UGGAAUGUGGCUUAGUGGUAGAGUUCUUGCCUAGCAUGCAUAAUGUCCUGGGUUCGAUUUCUCAGUACUACAU
rfam:Dipodomys ordii contig_41831, whole genome shotgun sequence.